AUGGAGGCCGCUAUCGGUGCAGCGAACUGGCUUGUCGGCAAGUUGCUGAAUAAGCUCUCCGAUGAGUUGGUGGCCGCGUAUGUGGCCAGCUCCGAGCUCGGCCUCAACUCCGAGCAAAUCAAAACAAGGCUCAAGUACAUGCAAGGGCUGCUGCAUGCAGCGCAGGACAGGGAUGUGAGCAGCAACCCUGGCCUGCAGAGCUUGCUCGAGGACCUGAGCAAAAAGGCUGAUGAGGCUGAGGACGCACUGGACGAGCUCCACUACUUCAUGAUCCAGGACCAGUUGGACGGCACCCAGGAGGCCGCCCCGGAGCUGGGUGAUGGUCUCCAUGGUCUUGCUCUCCAUGGUCGCCAUGCUGCUCGCCAUACCAUCGGUAACUGGCUUCCAUGCUUUUCUUGCUCACGUACUCAAGAUGAUGUUCCUUCUCUUCCUGAUGCCAUCAAUAACACACACGACGCAACCAAGUCUGAGAGUGGUAAUGAUGGUGGCCAUGUUGAUAAGUUGUCUUUUGAUAGAGUAGCUAUGUCCAACAAAAUCAAGACAGUAAUGGAGGAAAUGAACUCCAUAUGUGGACCCGUCUCUGACUUGCUCAAAAUUGAAAACCAUAGUAGCACCGCAACAAGCACAACUGGCACCCCAAAAAGGCCUCCCACAGGUUCAGUAGUUUCACAAGAUAAAUUGUACGGAAGAAGAGCCAUCUUUGAGCAAACUGUAAGUGCGCUCACUGGUAGCACAUAUCUUGAUGAAAACCUUUCUAUUCUGCCUUUUGUUGGCCCUGGGGGUAUGGGAAAGACAACCUUCACCCAACACUUGUAUAAUGAUAAAAGGAUCGAGGGAUGCUUCACAGUUAGGGUCUGGGUAUGUGUCUCAACUGAUUUUGAUGUGCUCAAUCUCACUCGACAGAUCCUUAGAUGCAUACCUGCAAUUGAAAGAGAAGAACACAAAUGUACUGUUGAGACUGCCAAUUUAGACCAGCUUCAAAAAUCCAUUGCAGAGAGGCUGAAGUCCAAAAGGUUUUUAGUUGUCUUGGAUGACAUUUGGAAAUGCAAUACUGAAAGUGAUUGGAAGAACCUAUUAGCUCCAUUCACAAAGGGGGAAACCAAGGGUAGCAUGGUUCUCGUCACAACUCGGUUUCCAUUUAUAGCUCAAAUGGUGAAAACAACUGAUCCAGUAGAACUGCAUGGUUUGGAACCUAAUGAAUUCUUCAAAUUCUUUGAAACAUGUAUAUUUGGUCUUAGCAAACCUGGGCAUUAUGAAGAUGACUUAAUUGAUGUUGCAAGAGAUAUUGCAAAUAAACUAAAGGGUUCACCACUAGCAGCCAACACAGUUGGUCGGUUAUUGAAGAAAAACCAUUCUCGGGAAUAUUGGCUGGGAGUUCUUGAAAAGAAUGAGUGGAAAAAUGCAAAAGAUUAUGAUGAUAUUAUGCCUUGUUUGAAAAUUAGUUAUGAUUACCUUCCUUUCCUUCUAAAAAAAUGUUUUUCAUAUUUUUCUCUCUUCCCCGAAGAUUAUGUGUUUUACAAUUUAGAAAUUACUAGCUUUUGGAUCGCGAUUGGUAUCUUAGACUCUAGUUGUCAAGAGAAUAAUAAUUACUUAGAAGAACUAGUGGACAAUGGUUUUCUCAUAAAGGGAGUUGAUAGGUCUAAUGUUCAAUACUAUGUGAUGCAUGAUUUAUUGCAUGAACUAUCCCGGAGUGUUUCAUCACAAGAAUGUGUCAAUAUAAGUAGUUUAAGUUUCAGUUUUGAUGAUAUCCCACGAUCUGUUAAACACUUGUCGAUCACCAUAGAGAAAAUAUAUGAUGAAAGUUUUGGGGAGGAAAUAGGUAAAUUGAAGCGCAUGAUAGACGUUUCAAGUUUACGUUCUUUGAUGAUUUUUGGAUUACAUGGUGCAACAAUAGCUAAUAUUUUAAAAUAUACAUUUGAAGAAAUAAAGGGUCUCCGGGUUCUAAUUAUAGCAAUGAACACUCUAGAAUCUUUGACGAACUAUUUUUCGAACCUUUUUCACCUCCAAUUCUUUAAAAUUAGAUCACCUUAUCCCUUGAAAGAAAUAACUUUACCUAGCACAUUGUCUAGAUUGUACCACUUGAAAUUUCUGGACCUCAAUCACUGGAGUGGUAGUGAAAAGUUGCCUAAAGACGUUAGCCGCCUUGUGAAUUUACGACAUUUUCUUUCUUCCAAAGAACUCCAUUCCAAUAUUCCUGAGGUUGGAAAGAUGAAGUGUUUACAUGAGCUAAAAGAGUUCAAUGUUAAGAAAGAGGGUGUUGGAUUUGAAAUGAAAGAGUUGGGGGAGUUGAGAGAGCUCGGGGGUAAACUCACAAUAUGCAAUCUUGAAAAUGUGGCAUCCAAGGGAGAAGCUAGUGAAGCCAAACUGAGGAACAAAAGAAAUCUGAAAGAGUUGAGAUUAGUAUGGGGUACAAAGCACCAGACUGUAGAUGAUGAUGUUCUUGAUGGUCUUCAACCAGAUGCUAAUCUUAGGGUGCUUGGCAUUAUAAAUCCCGGUGUUGGUCCAUGUCCUAGAUGGUUGUGUGCUGAUAUUAUUAGCACAAAAAGGUUGGAGUCCCUUCAUCUAGAAGGUCUUUCUUGGUGUCCUCUUCCAGCUUUUGAGCAGUUACCACACCUCAGCAGACUCACUUUGAAGAAUGUUGCUGGGAUGACUGUGUUUGGGCCUGGCUUUAGUGGUGUUACCGAAAGUAGCUUCAUGCACUUGAAGACACUUGAAUUUGAGGAUAUGCCAGAGCUUCAGAAGUGGGUCCGGGAACCUAAUAGUCGUCUAUUUUCAAGGCUUGAAAGCAUCAAACUUGGAGGUUGUCCCCUUCUCCCUUUUUUUCCCUUCUUGGAGAGCUCUGACCUAUUUACCAACCUGUGUAGUCUUCAUAUUGAUAACUGUCCCGUGUUGUCUCACUUCCCACCAAUGCCUCACGCCUCCACACUAACAGAUAUUCGUGUGAAAAAUGGUGGGUCGGAGCUAUUAUAUGAUGGUAAGGAAUUGAUAAUUGAAGGGUAUGCCGGUGCUUUGGCCUUCCACAAUAUGGAUAAAGUAGAGGUUAUGAAAAUUAAGGAUGUGUCACACAUUUCGUUUUCAGACCUCCAAUUACUAAAUUCGUUGCGAAGUAUACAUUUCAAGAAAUGCGACGACAUGUUUUCUGCAGAAAUGGCUGACAGUGUUGUCCUCCCUUCAGUUCAGAAUCUUGGCAUAGAGAAAUUAUGUAUUACUGGAGAAUUAUUUUCAAAGAUUUUGAGGUGUUUCUCGGCCCUUUCCCAGCUUACAAUCAAAAAGUGUGAGAGCCUUGAACUUUUGUAUGUGGAUGAUGGAGGACUCUCGGGCCUCAAGAUGCUCCAAUCAUUUACAGGAUUCAAUUGUGGGAACCUGUUCUCUCGGUGGCCCAUGGGCGAAGUAGGUGGAGGAGCUCAUGCCAUCAAGCCUUUCCCUACUUCCCUCAGGGAGCUUGAUAUUUUCUUAGAGUCAAGCAUGAAGUCAAUGGGACUGCUCUCAAACCUCACAUCUCUCACUAGUCUAAAACUGCUCGCUUGUUAUGAAUUAACAAUGGAUGGGUUUAAUCCUCUCAUCACAGUAAACCUCAAGAAAUUGACCGUAUAUGAUAUGCAUCCAGAAGAAGAUAACAUCUCUAUAGCAGGGGAUCUGCUCUCAGAGAUUGCAAGGAGCAACUUUAUGAAUGCAGGUUCAUUUCAGUUGGAAGAAUUUGUGGUGGAUAGCAUCUCGGCAGUGCUUACUGCUCCCAUUUGCAGACAUCUUGCUGCUAGCCUCCACACAUUGAAGUUCAGUUCUGAUCAAAGGGCGAUGACCUUCACGGAAGAGCAAGAGCAAGCACUUCAGCUUCUCAGCUCCUUCCAACAUCUAGAAUUUCAUGAUUGCAACAAUCUGCAGUCCCUCCCUAAAGUGCUAUGUGGCCUUUCUUCUCUCAAGAGACUAACGAUCUGGGGUUGUGAGAAAAUCCUUUCCCUGCCGCCCGAGGAGGGCCUCCCCGCUUCACUGGAAAUCCUAGAAGUAAUGUAUUGUAGUCCUGAGGUAAUUGAGCAGGCCGAGAAAUUGGCAGAAAGGGACCCAUGGUUUUCGGUAGAAAUAUAUGAGUAG
rnacentral:rRNA from 1 species